AAAACUUUCAACAACGGAUCUCUUGGUUCUGGCAUCGAUGAAGAACGCAGCGAAAUGCGAUAAGUAAUGUGAAUUGCAGAAUUCCGCGAAUCAUCGAAUCUUUGAACGCACAUUGCGCCCUUUGGUAUUCCGAAGGGCAUGCCUGUUCGAGCGUCAUUU
rnacentral:rRNA from 1 species